AACAGUGUUGAUAAUUCAGGUGUCUUGAUAUAUUUUUUUUGUUUGAGUUGUUUCCCUUGGUUUCCCGCAAUAUCAGUAGUUUUGUCUAUGUUUAAGCGGCUUUGUUUGUAAAAAGUUCAAAGUGUUCUUAAUUUAUUGGAAAUAUGGAUUAUUGAUAGUUGAAGUUACAGCAGAGAGAGAGUUUGACAGUAUGCGUGUUUGAAGAAGAUAAUGCUAUUAUUGGUACAUUCAAUUCCACGAACUGAGUGUUGAUUUCCUCGAUUUCAUUGACUCGAUGAUUCAUUCUCUGAUUGAUGAUUGUUGAUUGAAUGUUCUAAUGAUCAAUCAACUUAUUGAUUUACUGAUUGAUUGGACAUGUCAUGGAGCUUAAUAUAGAUGGAGAAGUAACUUAGACGUCAUACAGUUAAAUUCAGUAUUAUUGGGGUUGUUCUAACGCAAGUUUUCAUGUGUUUCGGGAUUUUCCAAGAUUUGAUGCAUCCUGGGUAAUAGUAGCCAAAAUACCGCCAUAUUGAAUUCCAAGAGGAACAUUGACAAAAAAAGACGAAGCAUUUUCUACUUACAUAAGAAGCAAUAGUUAUUUUAAUAUGUUAAAACGUACCAUACACACUUUUCCACACAGAUAUUUCUCAAAAAAAAAAAAACAAUGUCGGCAGUAGUUCAUGGAUAUCGCCGAAGUUUAACGAGAGUGCGAGAAUCGGGGACUAGUGGGAAAACCCUCUUAUCACCGAAACGCACUGUGGAUCUGAAUCUGACUAUCAACUACUUUCUGAGCUUCCUAUCCAUUGUAUAUAUAUCUGUGGACAUGUAAGACGAAUAUAUGUGAACUGUAAGAUGUUGAAAUGUGCAAAGUUGUUUGUUUAGAAGAGAAAUACACAAUUUUUGGAGAAACUUUUUGUUUGAAUGAUCAAGGUAUAAACACUUUUUGUAAAUGAACAUCAGGCUACCAUUUUCAUAGUAAUGGCAGGGCUUCCAUUAAUGGAAGUUUGGGAGUCAUUUCACUCCUUGAAUUUGGCUUAUGACUUCCAAAAUGUAAUGCUUUUUUCUUCUUUACCAAUAUUUUGUGACUUCCAAUGUCAAGACAUUUUGCAGUCUUUGACUUCCAAAUUUUGGAUCUUAAUGGAAGCCCUGAAUGCCAAUGGACCUACAUGUUUCACCUAAAUUGUAUUGGAAAUAUGUGAAAAACUUCCUUUUAAAAAGUUUCUAGCUGAAGUUAAGCAGAGAAACAGAAUAUUGCUAUGUUGUUAAAAAAUUUCCAAGCCUUAUGGUCACAUAUUCAUGGAAAAAUUCGAAGAAAGGAAAAUAGAUUGUCAGGUGUAUACAUGUAGAUUUCCAGUCUGCUUAUCAUUUACAUACAAUCUGGAAAACUUCAGUAGUUUCACUGGGGUCAAAAUUAAUCCUGUCUAAUGGUAAUGUUGUAAAAAGUUUAAUGUAUAUAUGUAUUAUAAUAGAAAUUAGAUAUAUGAUUGUAUGGAUAUUUUGUGUAAACCAACACGUGAAAACCCUGGAACAUCAUUGCUAAAGCAAUAUUGUUAGGUACAAUACCAUACAUUUAAUAGGCAAGAAAAGUACGGUAAAAAGAUCAUUUACUAUAGAUUUAGAAUGCAAGAAAAGAUAAAAUAUCAUUCGUCGCUUCUUAGUACAAAAAGUGCCAUAUCACUUUUAUAUUUAUAUUAAUGUUUACUGCAUAAAACACUUUCUUAUUUUUCAUUUUUAGCUAGACUAUACAAAGUAUAUGGAGAGCCAUCCUACUUGCCCCGGCGUCCGCGUCCUUAUUAAAGUUUUGGUUUUCCAUAUCAUCAACCACAUCUUAUGUGACAAGGUUCAUAACUCUAGCACCACUAUUUUCAGAUUUAUCUCCCCUUGAACUUAGAAUUUUCCUUAAAAAAUAUUAUUUUCUAUCAUUACUUCCAUAUUUCUUAAGGGAUCAACUUCAUACUUCAAAUAUAUGUUCCUUAUCAUCAACCACAUCUUAUGUGACAAGGUUCAUUACUCUAGCACCAAUAUUUUCAAGUUUAUCUCCUCUUGAAGAUAGAAUUUUCCUAAAAAAAGUUAUUUUUAGCUCGACUAUUCGAUAAAUAAGUAGAGCUAUUGUAGUCACCAGUGCGUCAGUGUUGGUGUCGGCGUCUGUGUCAGUGUAGGUGUAAUAACUUAUGUAAAAGUUUUUGUAAUAUCUCGAAUAUCAAAGUCCAUUGACAUAUGGCUUUGAAACUUUGCACACUUGUUCACCAUCAUUACCCCAACAUGUAGACAGGAGGAGAUAACUGGAUCAAGCAUUUUGACAGAAUUAUGCCCCUUUUUCAACUUAGAAUUUACGUUAAGUUUUUGUAAUACCUCAAAUAUUUUUAGACUUAGAUUUUAUGUUAUUUAAUUAAAGUUUGCAUACCACCUCAGAUAUUUUCAUAUACUAUUGACAUCUGGCUAGGAACAAGUUGAAAUUUUAUACUCUUCUUUGAGAGCAUAAUAGGACUCUCUUCAAGGCCUAUAACAGUAACAUGGAUUGAAAGGAAAAUUUGGCCCUAUAACAGUAACAUGGAUUUAAAGGAAAAUGUGGCCCUUUUGUUAACAUUUUACAUUAUCAAGGCUCUUUUUCUAUCAAGCACUUAGAAUGGUAGAGCGUUGCUGUCCUACCGACAGCUAUUAUUUACUGUUACUUAUUUAUUUCUUAAGGGAUCAACUUCAUAUUUCAAAUAUAUUAUCCUUAUCAUUAACCAAAUGUUAUGUGACAAGGUUGUUUACGCUAGCACCAAUAUUGCAAGAAUUACCUCCCCAUGAACUUAGAUUUUUUUACUUGAAAAAUAUUAGUUUUUACUAUGACUUCUUUAGUUUCAAAGGCAUCUACCUCUUGCUUCUUCAGUUACAUCUUAUGUGACUAGGUUCAUAACUCUUAAAGCAAUAUUUUCAGGUUAAUAUCCAUUUGAACUUAGGAUUUUUUUAAAGAAAUAUUAUAAGUAAUUAAUUUACUUUUUAGCUCACCUGAGCAAUGCUCAGGAUGAGCUAUUGUGAUGGCCCUGUGUCCGUCGUCCGUCGUGCAUCGUCAACUUUUAACAUUUUUAACAUAAACAACAUCUCCUCUGAAACCAAUAACUGCACAUCAACCAAACUUUACAGAAAUGAUCCUUGGGUGGUCCCCUUUCAAAGUUGUUCAAAUGGUUCCGGUCUGUUGCAUAUGUAGGUCAUAGGGCCAGAAAAGGAUUUCAAAAAACACAAAAUUAAAAAAUCUACUUGUCUGAAAGUACAUGGGCCAGAGCUUUGAUUUUUGGUAUAUGGUAUCAUCUAUGGGUCCUCUACCAAAGUGGUUCAAAUUUUGUCCCUAGUGUCAAAAUUGGCCCCGCCCCGGGGGUCAUAGGUUUUUCCUUAUAUGUA